rnacentral:rRNA from 1 species
UACGAAGGGGGCUAGCGUUGCUCGGAAUCACUGGGCGUAAAGCGCACGUAGGCGGAUCUUUAAGUCAGGGGUGAAAUCCUGGAGCUCAACUCCAGAACUGCCUUUGAUACUGGGGAUCUCGAGUCCGGAAGAGGUGAGUGGAACUCCGAGUGUAGAGGUGAAAUUCGUAGAUAUUCGGAAGAACACCAGUGGCGAAGGCGGCUCACUGGACCGGUAUUGACGCUGAGGUGCGAAAGCGUGGGGAGCAAACAGG